GAUACGGCCCAGACUCCUACGGGAGGCAGCAGUGGGGAAUAUUGCACAAUGGGCGCAAGCCUGAUGCAGCGACGCCGCGUGGGGGAUGACGGCCUUCGGGUUGUAAACUCCUUUCGCUAGGGACGAAGCUUUUUGUGACGGUACCUAGAUAAGAAGCACCGGCUAACUACGUGCCAGCAGCCGCGGUAAUACGUAGGGUGCGAGCGUUGUCCGGAAUUACUGGGCGUAAAGGGCUCGUAGGUGGUUUGUCGCGUCGUCUGUGAAAUUCCGGGGCUUAACUCCGGGCGUGCAGGCGAUACGGGCAUAACUUGAGUACUGUAGGGGUAACUGGAAUUCCUGGUGUAGCGGUGAAAUGCGCAGAUAUCAGGAGGAACACCGAUGGCGAAGGCAGGUUACUGGGCAGUUACUGACGCUGAGGAGCGAAAGCAUGGGUAGCGAACAGGAUUAGAUACCCUGGUAGUCCAUGCCGUAAACGGUGGGCGCUAGGUGUGAGGGUCUUUCUACGACUUUCGUGCCGUAGCUAACGCAUUAAGCGCCCCGCCUGGGGAGUACGGCCGCAAGGCUAAAACUCAAAGGAAUUGACGGGGGCCCGCACAAGCGGCGGAGCAUGUGGAUUAAUUCGAUGCAACGCGAAGAACCUUACCUGGGCUUGACAUACAUCAGAUUGGGCUAGAGAUAGUUCGUCCCUUUGUGGUUGGUGUACAGGUGGUGCAUGGUUGUCGUCAGCUCGUGUCGUGAGAUGUUGGGUUAAGUCCCGCAACGAGCGCAACCCUUGUCUUAUGUUGCCAGCAUUUGGUUGGGGACUCAUGAGAGACUGCCGGGGUUAACUCGGAGGAAGGUGGGGAUGACGUCAAAUCAUCAUGCCCCUUAUGUCCAGGGCUUCACACAUGCUACAAUGGUCGGUACAAUGCGCUGCGACACUGUGAGGUGGAGCGAAUCGCUGAAAGCCGGUCUUAGUUCGGAUUGGGGUCUGCAACUCGACCCCAUGAAGUCGGAGUCGCUAGUAAUCGCAGAUCAGCAACGCUGCGGUGAAUACGUUCCCGGGCCUUGUACACACCGCCCGUCACGUCAUGAAAGUUGGUAACACCCGAAGCCGGUGGCCUAAACGUGUUAGGGAGCCGUCGAAGGUGGGAUCGGCGAUUGGGACGAAGUCGUAACAAGGUACCCGUACCGGAAGGUGCGGGUG
rnacentral:rRNA from 1 species